rnacentral:tRNA from 1 species
GGCAAGGUGUCUGACAAAAGAAGGGGGUUGUAAACCCCUUAAUGUGGAUGAAAGCUUCACCCUUCGCCA